UGCGCAGCUUACACAUGCAAGUCGAGCGGUAACAGGGGGUGCUUGCACCCCGCUGACGAGCGGCGGACGGGUGAGUAAUGCAUAGGAAUCUGCCCAGUAGUGGGGGAUAGCCCGGGGAAACCCGGAUUAAUACCGCAUACGCCCUUUGGGGGAAAGCAGGGGAUCUUCGGACCUUGCGCUAUUGGAUGAGCCUAUGUCGGAUUAGCUAGUUGGUGGGGUAAAGGCCUACCAAGGCGACGAUCCGUAGCUGGUCUGAGAGGAUGAUCAGCCACAUCGGGACUGAGACACGGCCCGAACUCCUACGGGAGGCAGCAGUGGGGAAUAUUGGACAAUGGGGGCAACCCUGAUCCAGCCAUGCCGCGUGUGUGAAGAAGGCUUUCGGGUUGUAAAGCACUUUCAGUGAGGAGGAAAACCUUCUGGUUAAUACCCAUGAGGCUUGACGUUACUCACAGAAGAAGCACCGGCUAACUCCGUGCCAGCAGCCGCGGUAAUACGGAGGGUGCAAGCGUUAAUCGGAAUUACUGGGCGUAAAGCGCGCGUAGGUGGUUUGAUAAGCGAGAUGUGAAAGCCCCGGGCUUAACCUGGGAACGGCAUUUCGAACUGUCAGGCU
rnacentral:rRNA from 1 species